rnacentral:misc_RNA from 1 species
AGUCGUAACAAGGUUUCCGUAGGUGAACCUGCGGAAGGAUCAUUAGAAUGAGAGCCGGACCAUGUCGUGGGCCGAAAGCUCGCACGUGCCAGUAAGCGCCCGUAAACCUCCACCCUUGUGUAUUAUUCUUCUGUUGCUUUGGCAGGCCGCGACCCUCUGGGGGCAGCGCUGCGUCGGCUGAGGUCGCCUGCAGACGAACAAUCUGUAAUUUAAUGCCGUCUGAGUACUACGAAAAUAGUUAAAA